AUUGAACGCUGGCGGCAUGCCUUACACAUGCAAGUCGAACGGUAACAGGUCUUCGGAUGCUGACGAGUGGCGAACGGGUGAGUAAUACAUCGGAACGUGCCUAGUAGUGGGGGAUAACUGUCCGAAAGAGUGGCUAAUACCGCAUGAGAACGACGGAUGAAAGCAGGGGAUCGCAAGACCCUGUGCUACUAGAGCGGCCGAUGGCAGAUUAGGUAGUUGGUGGGAUAAAAGCUUACCAAGCCGACGAUCUGUAGCUGGUCUGAGAGGACGAUCAGCCACACUGGGACUGAGACACGGCCCAGACUCCUACGGGAGGCAGCAGUGGGGAAUUUUGGACAAUGGGCGCAAGCCUGAUCCAGCAAUGCCGCGUGCAGGAUGAAGGCCUUCGGGUUGUAAACUGCUUUUGUACGGAACGAAAAGCCCUGGGUUAAUACCCUGGGGUCAUGACGGUACCGUAAGAAUAAGCACCGGCUAACUACGUGCCAGCAGCCGCCGUAAAAC
rnacentral:rRNA from 1 species